rnacentral:rRNA from 1 species
UACGAAGGGGGUUAGCGUUGUUCGGAAUUACUGGGCGUAAAGCGCACGUAGGCGGAUUGUUAAGUCAGGGGUGAGAUCCUGGAGCUCAACUCCAGAACUGCCUUUGAUACUGGCAAUCUAGAGUCCGGAAGAGGUGAGUGGAACUCCUAGUGUAGAGGUGGAAUUCGUAGAUAUUAGGAAGAACACCAGUGGCGAAGGCGGCUCACUGGUCCGGUACUGACGCUGAGGUGCG